rnacentral:rRNA from 1 species
GAUGAACGCUAGCGGCAGGCUUAACACAUGCAAGUCGAGGGGUAGGAGCAGCUUGCUGCUUUGAGACCGGCGCACGGGUGCGUAACGCGUAUACAAUCUACCUUUUACAGAGGGAUAGCCCAGAGAAAUUUGGAUUAAUACCUCAUAGUAUUUUCGAAUGGCAUCAUUUGAUUAUUAAAGUUCCAACGGUAAAGAUGAGUAUGCGUCCCAUUAGCUAGAUGGUAAGGUAACGGCUUACCAUGGCAACGAUGGGUAGGGGUCCUGAGAGGGAGAUCCCCCACACUGGUACUGAGACACGGACCAGACUCCUACGGGAGGCAGCAGUGAGGAAUAUUGGACAAUGGGCGCAAGCCUGAUCCAGCCAUGCCGCGUGCAGGAAGACGGUCCUAUGGAUUGUAAACUGCUUUAUACAGGAAGAAACACCUCUACGUGUAGAGACUUGACGGUACUGUAUGAAUAAAGCAUCGGCUAACUCCG